rnacentral:rRNA from 1 species
UACGAAGGGGGCUAGCGUUGUUCGGAUUUACUGGGCGUAAAGCGCACGUAGGCGGAUCUUUAAGUCAGAGGUGAAAUCCCAAGGCUCAACCUUGGAACUGCCUUUGGUACUGGGGAUCUUGAGUCCGGGAGAGGUGAGUGGAACUGCGAGUGUAGAGGUGAAAUUCGUAGAUAUUGGGAGGAACACCAGUGGCGAAGGCGGCUACCUGGACCGGUUCUGACGCUGAGGCGCGAAAGCGUGGGUAGCAAACAGG